UUUGAUUAAUAUUUCUUUAUCUGAUGGCAAACUAUUGUGCAUCACUAGUUUUGCCCAGCUAAUACAAACAUUCUUAUAUUUUAAGGGAUUCAGUAAGAAUCCUAGUGAAAGUUUGCUAAAGGUUUAAGAACACGAAAUUGGCCAUAAUCAUCCUCAUUCUGAUUCCUCACUGGAAGUACUUUUAUUGAAGAGUGGAAUCUUACAACAGCUUUAUCUGUACAUGAUGAUGAUAUAUUUAGAUACCCUAGUUUCCCAAGGAAACCACUUAAUUUUGCACAACUCCCUUGAAUGAAACUUUGCUUAAACUGAAAUAACCCUGCAGGUAAAACUUGAGGUUAAACAGUAUUUUCAAAGUUUUUUCAAAAUUACCAUUUCUUCAGAAGCAACUUUAAAGGCUUGUAAAAAGGCAGGAAGGAUUGAUGAUUAAAAAAUACACAAAUCCUCUAAGCCAUGCUGUUACAACACAGAAAUAAGAAAUGCCUCUUAAAGUUUAUACAAGUGUUUCAGCUUAAUUUGUUACAGUCCUGGCACUAAGGCUUGGAGGCAUCAAGUUUUUGCUAUUAGCUACAACUUGAGCUAGUAAAUAAUGUGUGUACCCGUGUACAAUGAAGGAAGCUCACUUUGUAUCAUACAGUCUGCAAAGUUAAGGCAGAAUUCAUGAAGACAGGCAUCAGUCCCAAAACAGUACAUAAUCCUUAGAAAAAUUGAUUUGUCUUAGUAAUUUUCUGUCUACUAAUAUCAUUAGAGACUGCCUUUUCUUGGAGCGGGUUUUAUCACCUUUGUCCAUGUUCCAGCAAAGCAUUUGGGGAUAAUGCACUUUUUAAGCUGAACGUGUCUCCACUUGAUGAGUGUCGGGAAGUUGCUUUUCCACCUAUCAACAAAGUCUCUGCUUCUUUUAUUUCCAUAGCUCUCUUGUAAAGUUCAGCUGCCUUCUCAAAGUCUCCCCUUUCAUAGCUUUGGAAAAGAGCAAAACAAAGUUGAAACAAGCAAAUAAAACAAGUUUCUCUAUUUAUUUAAAUUGAUAUAUACACCAUACUAUCAAAAUAGUAUACUUAAAAGUCUCUACUUUCCUAGAAAGUACACAAGCCCAGAUGUUUUGUUUCAUGCAGUAAUUUGCAUUUAUAGGGUUGAAGCAUAUAAUCUUACCUUAGCACAGCCAAAUUUUUCAGUGUUUCCCCUACACGAGGAUGCAUUUGACCAAAGCUGUCUUCAUAAAUCUUUAGUGCACGUUCAUAGAGAGGCAAAGCUUCAAUCUGUUUUUUCUUUGGGUAGCAGAAAGUUUCUUCGUUACAGAUGUGUAUUACAUGGGGGUUUUUUUGCCAGCAUAGUAUCAGUGCUUCCUAGAUGCAGUAUCAUGCAUACCAUUCACACCAAUUAUCUCUUCCCUGCAUACAUUUUCCUUGCCAAAUACGCUUUCAAUGUUUAAAAUGGAACCCAAGAAUUUGAAAAUGCUAUAAGGAAUUUCCCUUUUCAAUACAAUCAAGUUUCUUUUGUUUCAUUUAGGUAUAGGUCAUAAAGAAGCCUAAGACAGGAAAAAUAAAUGUUAGGCAUGAAAAACUUACCAUCUGACAGUAAAGGACAGCCAGGUUUACCAGAGCAGUUGCUACACUCGGGUGUUUUGGGCCAAAUGACUUCUGUCGAAUUUCAACUGCUAGCUCAUAUAGAGGAACA
ensembl:lncRNA